CACGUAGGGGGCGAGCGUUGUCCGGAUUUAUUGGGCGUAAAGAGCUCGUAGGCGGUUCGUCGCGUCGGCUGUGAAAACCCGGAGCUCAACUCCGGGCCUGCAGUCGAUACGGGCGGACUUGAGUUCGGCAGGGGAGACUGGAAUUCCUGGUGUAGCGGUGAAAUGCGCAGAUAUCAGGAGGAACACCGGUGGCGAAGGCGGGUCUCUGGGCCGAUACUGACGCUGAGGAGCGAAAGCGUGGGGAGCGAACAGG
rnacentral:rRNA from 1 species